rnacentral:lncRNA from 1 species
GGAAGUGCUUGCAGAGGGGAGGGGCAUGCAAAAAAUGUCCUCAGGCACUGGGAAGAGGGAGAACCCAGCGGCUUCCAAAGUACCUGCUCUGCACCCCUGCCAUGCCUCCGUCAAAGCUGACCUAGCCUAUCUGGUACAUAUUCACCAUAAUAAACUUUUCUUACUCUCUUAUUCAUCUGUAACAACUUUCCUAGAAAAUUGGUUCUUGCUACCUAACAUCUCACAAGGGGACAAUUCGACAUCCAUAGACUAG